rnacentral:rRNA from 1 species
UACGAAGGGGGCUAGCGUUGUUCGGAAUUACUGGGCGUAAAGCGUGCGCAGGCGGCUGCUCAAGUCAGGGGUGAAAGCCCAGAGCUCAACUCUGGAAUUGCCUUUGAGACUGAGUGGCUUGAGUACGGGAGAGGUGAGUGGAAUUCCCAGUGUAGAGGUGAAAUUCGUAGAUAUUGGGAAGAACACCGGUGGCGAAGGCGGCUCACUGGCCCGAAACUGACGCUCAUGCACGACAGCGUGGGGAUCAAACAGG